rnacentral:other from 1 species
AGAGCACUGUGGGGUGCGCCAGGCGCUAUAUUCCCCGGGGCGAUAAGUCUCAACAGGGAGCUGUCACUGAUCAGGCCGUGGUCUGAUUACACGGCGCCCACCUGCACAGCAGGCCGCGUUGGGAAUGGAUGCCAGCGGCCAAUGCGGUCUCUU